rnacentral:lncRNA from 1 species
AGUCAAUCCCAAACCGUGAAUGUCUGAUAUGUCUGCACAGAAUACAAAACGAAUUUAUCAAAUUUCAAGCCACAGGGACCUAUUACAUCAAACAACACGGGCAGAGUGUGCAAGAGACUUUCAGUGCAAAAGAUCAGAAAUGGGUAUUUGGUUGUGCCUUUUAAAGAUCAAUAGUAAAAAUUCAUGCUGCCAGGAGUACAAGCUCUGCUUGGGGCCGGCCAGACAAGGGGCGCGGGCUCGACCAGGCUGGCCGGAUAUCAUGACUUUUUUUCCCUUUUAGCCUGAACUUGAACAAGGUACAAAUGCAGAUGAAGAUCGUUAACUGUACAGAUAAGACGGUGCUUCCGGCUACAAGGAACAGGGUUCAUAGAAUUCUUCAUGGACAGUUCAGGAGGGCCUUUCUUCGUGUGACCUGAUGACUGUAGGCAGAAGGCUCGAGGAGCUGCUGACGUAGGAGACCACUGUGGUCACACGGACUGUCGUGCCCUGAAUGAAAUUGGCUCAUAGCCAAGGAGCAAUGUAAAAAAUGGUUAAAAUGCAUGUAACAAGAGGCAUUUACUUGAAGAACGUCAAACAGCAAGCAUGUUUUCUUCAGUCGUGCGGCAGGUCAGGAGGAACCACACGCUGAGGUUUCUUCUCGUUUUGAAACAAGACAAAACAGAAAACAAGCCCCUGAACGUCCAUAGCUUCCCCUUCCGGUCUGUCUGCGAAGCCAUAUCCCUGACUGAGCACCCCAUCUCCGCAAACUGCAGUACGGCGGGUCCUGCACUGGGAAGUCACUGCUGUCACGUUCCGAGCGCCUGUGCUCGCUCAUUACUUCAUUCCACAGACAUCUACAGAGCGGUCAGCACGGAGCUCCCGAGGUUUGCUGUCUCCGUGUCAACAGCCCGGGCAGAAUGAAGAGUAGGCCCACAGCUGGCUGUUCACGGCACCCAGCCUGGGGUCUCAGCACCUGACACUACGGAUGUUCGCCAAACAAAUGAAUAGAUGAAUCAGUGAAUCAAUAAAUAGAUAAUUUUCAAGGAGUGAAAUGUUUGC